CCCUUAGACGUUCUGGGCCGCACGCGCGCUACACUGACGGAGCCAGCGAGUAUAAACCUUGGCCGAGAGGUCUGGGAAAUCUUGUGAAACUCCGUCGUGCUGGGGAUAGAGCAUUGUAAUUAUUGCUCUUCAACGAGGAAUUCCUAGUAAGCGCAAGUCAUCAGCUUGCGUUGAUUACGUCCCUGCCCUUUGUACACACCGCCCGUCGCUACUACCGAUUGAAUGGCUUAGUGAGGCUUCCGGAUUGGUUUAGAGAAGGGGGCAACUCCAUCUUGGAACCGAGAAGCUAGUCAAACUUGGUCACUUAGAGGAAGUAAAAGUCGUAACA
rnacentral:rRNA from 1 species